rnacentral:misc_RNA from 1 species
AAGCUACAGCAAGCUCAGCUGAGGUAGUAUUUUUUUAAUUUGCCAUUUGGGAAAUUCUUUCCUACUUUUUAGGUCAAAGCCUAAAAGAUUGUGUAGGAUGGGAAACAUUGCAUUUGUUAUUAAGGCAGUAUUUCAUUACUGUCUUUAUUGUAUUAAUGAGUGUUUUUAAUGGAUGAAUAUUGCUAAGAAUUGAUCUCUAUUAGCUUUCAUAAGUAUGUGCCUGUGGCUGUUCAUCAUUUCAUAGUUAUUUAUUCUUCAUAUAUAUGAUCUAUUACCUUCUUCUGGUUAACGUUUUGCUUAUGCAACAAUAUGUAUGGAAUUUCCUUGGUACUUAUUGGCGUGUACAAUUUUUUUUCUCUAUCUAAAUAAAAACAUAGAUAUUCAUUACUAACUAAGCUUUGCAAUCCUUUCUUUGACUCAA